rnacentral:rRNA from 1 species
GUGCCAGCCGCCGCGGUAAUACAGAGGGUGCGAGCGUUGUUCGGAAUUACUGGGCGUAAAGCGCGCGCAGGCGGCCUUUUAAGUCCGACGGUGAAAUGCCGGGGCUCAACCCCGUGCCCGCCGCGGAUACUGGGAGGCUGGAGACGAGUAGAGGCAAGCGGAAUUCCGGGUGUAGCGGUGGAAUGCGUAGAGAUCCGGAAGAACACCGGAGGCGAAGGCGGCUUGCUGGGCUCGGUCUGACGCUGAGGCGCGAAAGCGUGGGGAGCGAACAGGAUUAGAUACCCUCGUAGUCC